rnacentral:rRNA from 1 species
AAGAGACAGCAGCAGCCGCGGGAAUACAGAGGGUGCGAGCGUUAAUCGGAUUUACUGGGCGUAAAGCGUGCGUAGGCGGCUUCUUAAGUCGGAUGUGAAAUCCCUGAGCUUAACUUAGGAAUUGCAUUCGAUACUGGGAAGCUAGAGUAUGGGAGAGGAUGGUAGAAUUCCAGGUGUAGCGGUGAAAUGCGUAGAGAUCUGGAGGAAUACCGAUGGCGAAGGCAGCCAUCUGGCCUAAUACUGACGCUGAGGUACGAAAGCAUGGGGAGCAAACAGGAUUAGAUACCCCGGUAGUCCCUGUCUCUUAUAA